rnacentral:rRNA from 1 species
GACGAACGCUGGCGGCGUGCUUAACACAUGCAAGUCGAACGGAAAGGCCCUGCUUUUGUGGGGUGCUCGAGUGGCGAACGGGUGAGUAACACGUGAGUAACCUGCCCUUGACUUUGGGAUAACUUCAGGAAACUGGGGCUAAUACCGGAUAGGAGCUCCUGCUGCAUGGUGGGGGUUGGAAAGUUUCGGCGGUUGGGGAUGGACUCGCGGCUUAUCAGCUUGUUGGUGGGGUAGUGGCUUACCAAGGCUUUGACGGGUAGCCGGCCUGAGAGGGUGAGCGGCCACAUUGGGACUGAGAUACGGCGCAGACGCGGACGGGAGGGAGCAGUGGGGAAUAGUGCGCAGUGGGCGGAAGCCGGAAGCAGCAACGCCGCGUGCGGGAUGACGGCCUUCGGGUUGUGAACCGCUUUCGCCUGUGACGAAGCGGGAGUGACGGUAAUGGGUAAAGAAGCACCGGCUAACUACGUG